UACGUAGGUGGCGAGCGUUGUCCGGAUUUACUGGGCGUAAAGGGAGCGUAGGCGGACUUUUAAGUGAGAUGUGAAAUACUCGGGCUCAACUUGAGUGCUGCAUUUCAAACUGGAAGUCUAGAGUGCAGGAGAGGAGAAUGGAAUUCCUAGUGUAGCGGUGAAAUGCGUAGAGAUUAGGAAGAACACCAGUGGCGAAGGCGAUUCUCUGGACUGUAACUGACGCUGAGGCACGAAAGCGUGGGGAGCAAACAGG
rnacentral:rRNA from 1 species